CAGCAGCCGCGGUAAUACGUAGGGUGCAAGCGUUAAUCGGAAUUACUGGGCGUAAAGCGUGCGCAGGCGGUUUGCUAAGACAGAUGUGAAAUCCCCGGGCUUAACCUGGGAACUGCAUUUGUGACUGGCAGGCUAGAGUAUGGCAGAGGGGGGUAGAAUUCCACGUGUAGCAGUGAAAUGCGUAGAGAUGUGGAGGAAUACCGAUGGCGAAGGCAGCCCCCUGGGCCAAUACUGACGCUCAUGCACGAAAGCGUGGGGAGCAAACAGGAUUAGAUACCCUGGUAGUCCACGCCCUAAACGAUGUCAACUAGUUGUUGGGGAUUCAUUUCCUUAGUAACGUAGCUAACGCGUGAAGUGACCCGCCUGGGA
rnacentral:rRNA from 1 species